AUACGUAGGGUGCAAGCGUUAAUCGGAAUUACUGGGCGUAAAGCGUGCGCAGGCGGUUUUGUAAGACAGUGGUGAAAUCCCCGGGCUCAACCUGGGAACUGCCAUUGUGACUGCAAGGCUGGAGUGCGGCAGAGGGGGAUGGAAUUCCGCGUGUAGCAGUGAAAUGCGUAGAUAUGCGGAGGAACACCGAUGGCGAAGGCAAUCCCCUGGGCCUGCACUGACGCUCAUGCACGAAAGCGUGGGGAGCAAACAGGAUUAGAUACCCUGGUAGUCCACGCCCUAAACGAUGUCAACUGGUUGGUGGGGAUUUAUUUUCUCAGUAACGAAGCUAACGCGUGAAGUUGACCGCCUGGGGAGUACGGCCGCAAGGUUAAAACUCAAAUGAAUUGACGGGG
rnacentral:rRNA from 1 species